rnacentral:lncRNA from 1 species
UGCAUUCCUGACCCCUUGGGGCCCUAGGGGCACCAUGGUAAGGUGGCUACGAGCCUACGAGAGUGCUGUCUCCUUCCACUUCAGCAACUAUUUUGUGGGCUUUCUGUCUGAGGCCACAGCCACAUUGGCCGGGGCUGGCUUCACGGAGGAGAAGGACCACCUCGAAUGGUGGGGAGGGCUUUGGGGGCCCCUUGUCCCACAGGGUGCUGCCUGGAGGAACUGUAGGGCGGUGGGAGGUUUUCCUGGGAAGGGACCAGUCAAGACAAAAAAAAAAAAAAAAAACACAUAGCACCCAGAUAGCUUGAAAUUCCAACUGUAAUGGAAUGUCUGGUUUUGUCCACCAGGGACCUGACAGUCUCUAGACCAUUGAAUGUGGAGCUACCCCGGUCUAUGGUGGAAGUUGUCACAAGCUGGAACCUGCCCAUGUCUUAUUGGUUAAAUAAUUGUGAGUCACCACGUCAUCACUCCAGAAUAGUUGGGGACCCAGGGCCAUUUGCACAGCAAACAUUUACUGAACAACUACUGUGUGAUGGGCACUGAAGAUGCAUCACAGGCUGUUUGUUAGUGCAUCACAGUUUGUACAGUAUUGAGCCUAGCAUUCUCUAAGUCCAAGAUUUGGUCCCCAGCACCACAAAAACAAAAAACAAAAAAC